CGUCAUAAGCGACACGUUGAUUUUUCUUGCAUAUUAUUUAUAAAUAAAGACAAUUUGAAUAAAACGGAAUAAUGAGAUCGCUAUUAAAAAAUUGCAUCUUAUUU